AGAGCCUGGGGCAUACAAGGUCCAGCAGGACAGCAGAGUGUGAUAAAUAUUGUCUUAGGAAAAGGUAAGCAGAGCUGUGACAGAUGGACUCCCUCUUGGAUACUAGGAUCAGACCGACCUGUCUGCUGGGUAAGUACUCCCUACUGCAACACACCUUGGAUUUGCAGGGUGAAGUGGUCACACAGGUAAAUAUCUGGUUAUUGUCAAGCUGCCACGGACAGUCCCAGAUAAAGUAUGUAGGCAGGAACUGGGCGGGAAAACAUUUUUCUGGAAGUGUGAGAGACUCUUCUAUGCUGACCAAGGUUAUCCCAAAGCAGCUGGGGACAAUGUGCAAUUACCAAGAAGCCCCCCACCCCCAAAUCCAAAAACCCCAGACUUAUGUGGGGAUGGCAGACUCUAGUACAUGUUUUGUGCAUGUUUGUUACUCCCUGUUCUCAGAAACUAAUGAUAUAUGAAUUUAAAAGAAAGACCAGAGAGAUAGUUGGUAAGUCACUUGCCCUGCACACAGCUGACCCAGGUUCAAUCCUCAGCACUGCAAGCCUCACAGGAGUAUUCCAUGAGCACAGCCAGAGUCAGGAGUAAGCCCUGAGCACCACCAGAAGUGAUCCAAAAAUCAAUUGAAAAAACAAGAAGACAAGAGCAGAAGUUAUAGUCCAUCCACUAGAAAAUCACUCUUAGAAAGAGUCAACAAAAAUAUAAAUUGAUAAAACUUUUCUGGAAGGUAAUUUGGGGAAAGGCAAUCAAAAGUCUUCACAAAACUCAGAAUCAACAACCCCAACCACCAGCAAAUCCAUAUAUGGUUAAAAAUGUACUGAAGUGAUCUGUGGGAGUAAGAAGUGGCUUACAGACUAUCUACUCUGGUUCUCUAUCACUUAAAAUACUAAGGAUUGGAUUUUGUUUUUCAAAAUGGUUUUGUGGGUUUAGGUGCUCUAGGAUUCAGCGUAGCACACUCAAGCAGACAGCAAGUGGUAUGAGUAGGAAGUACAAGUUGCCUUGUGGCGCCAUCCACAAAGGAGAUGUUAUGGGCUGAGCCUAGUAGAAUGACACUUACGCGACACUAAAAGGUGUUAAAGGAUACAAAUAACUACUAUUGGAAAAUAUCCUGCAAGCCGUUGCUUGGAAUGAUGUGGCUGAAGUUGUCUGUAACACCUUGUCUGCAGAGCUACUCAGAAGUUUAUUCUGCAUUGAGACACUCCAGGAGAAAGCUUUGGCCCCAGCAUGCUCCAGACAAAGGAAAGCCCAGACUGACAAAGAAGCAGGAUGGUGUAAGGAAGCAGCAGGGAGAAAAGGCCAUCACACUGGAGAUCGUAAACCCUUUUCUAUAAACAACACAUGUGCCGGUUGCCGGAAGAUUUACAUGUGUAGAUGACAAGACUUCUGUGCUAGCUGUCACUUAAGAGAAGCCUAGAAAAUUCUCAGGAGAGUUCUUUUUUCUUUUCUUUUUUUUCUUUUUUAAAUGCCCAGGCAGAUGUGCAUCUGGAACAAAAUCCCACACUCCACUCUCACCCUGAACGCCGUCUUGAAGCAAAGUACCACAUAUGUAAGAGGACCGCAGGGUUCACCUUGGAUUGUCAACAGUAAAUAUGUCAAUCACAAUCAGAGGACGCCUGACAGCCUGUGAUUCACAUUUGCAUCAAAUCCAAAAUAGCUGCCUCCAGCUGCCUGUGGAUUAGUGUCAGUCUAGAGACCCACGGAGGGAAGUCUCUUCCCAUCACAGAGUCACUUUCUCUUGAUUUGAAAUCUCGGGCACAGGGUUGGCAGCCAGGACAUUGGGAACUUGGAACUUGAACUUCUGUUUUUGCUCUCACAGUUUUGUGCUGUGUGACAGUGCCCCUCGGGUGAGGACGAGACCUAAUGAGAACAUGGAGGCCAGUUCACCGGCCCCUUCCCCAGUCUAGGGGCAGCAAAGCUGCACAGACAGCUUCUGCCUGCUGUCAGGAUCGAGUUUCUGCAGUUACUGCCCUGUGAAAGGACUCGAGUUUCAGCUCAAGUGACAGCAAGAAGAAAGUUUAGUCCCAGGGACACCACCAGUUGCACAGUAUGUUCCAAGCACGUUGUUAGUCAAUGUUGUUGGUCGCUGUUAUGAUUUACUUGUUGGUUUGUUUUUUUAUGAAACUGAGGAGACUUUAUCUUUUUAGCAUUUGAAAGAAUGUAAAGUCAGGAUAUUAGAUACUUUCUCCAAAACUGAGGAAUUCUCUUUCUGGGCCAAGAGUCAAAUGAAGGAUGCUUAAAGUUUUCUUUUCAAAUA